rnacentral:rRNA from 1 species
AGCGAACGCUGGCGGUAGGCCUAACACAUGCAAGUCGAACGGCAGCACAGGAGAGCUUGCUCUCUGGGUGGCGAGUGGCGGACGGGUGAGGAAUACAUCGGAAUCUACUCUGUCGUGGGGGAUAACGUAGGGAAACUUACGCUAAUACCGCAUACGACCUACGGGUGAAAGCAGGGGACCUUCGGGCCUUGCGCGAUUGAAUGAGCCGAUGUCGGAUUAGCUAGUUGGCGGGGUAAAGGCCCACCAAGGCGACGAUCCGUAGCUGGUCUGAGAGGAUGAUCAGCCACACUGGAACUGAGACACGGUACAGACUCCUACGGGAGGCAGCAGUGGGGAAUAUUGGACAAUGGGCGCAAGCCUGAUCCAGCCAUACCGCGUGGGUGAAGAAGGCCUUCGGGUCGUAAAGCCCUUUUGUUGGGAAAGAAAUCCAGCUGGCUAAUACCCGGUUGGGAUGACGGUACCCAAAGAAUAAGCACCGGCUAACUUCGUGCCAGCCGCCGCCGUAA